rnacentral:rRNA from 1 species
GACGAACGCUGGCGGCGUGCUUAACACAUGCAAGUCGAACGGAAAGGCCCUGCUUUUGUGGGGUGCUCGAGUGGCGAACGGGUGAGUAACACGUGAGUAACCUGCCCUUGACUUUGGGAUAACUUCAGGAAACUGGGGCUACUACCGGAUAGGAGCUCCCGCUGCAUGGUGGGGGUUGGAAAGUUUCGGCGGUCGGGGAUGGACUCGCGGCUUAUCAGCUUGUUGGUGGGGGAGUGGCUUACCAAGGCUUUGACGGGUAGCCGGCCUGAGAGGGUGACCGGCCACAUUGGGACUGAGAUACGGCCCAGACUCCUACGGGAGGCAGCAGGGGGGAAUAUUGCCCAAUGGGCGGAAGCCUGAUGCAGCAACGCCGCGGGCGGGAUGACGGCCUUCGGGUUGUAAACCGCUUUCGCCUGUGACGAAGCGUGAGUGACGGUAAUGGGUAAAGAAGCACCGGCUAACUACGUG